rnacentral:rRNA from 1 species
AAUCAACGCUGGCGGCGUGCCUAACACAUGCAAGUCGAACGCGAAAGCCCCUUCGGGGGUAAGUAGAGUGGCGUCCGGGUGAGUAACACGUAGGUAAUCUGCCUUCGGGUGGGGAAUAACCAGUCGAAAGAUUGGCUAAUACCGCAUAAUGCAGCGGCACCUAAUGGUGAUUAGUUGUUAAAGCGGGGGAUCGUAAGACCUCGCGCCUGAAGAGGAGCCUGCGGCAGAUUGGCUAGNGGUGAGGUAAUGGCUCACCAAGGCUUCGAUCUNUAGCUGGUCUGAGAGGACGGCCAGCCACACUGGCACUGACACACGGGCCA